GUGACUAUGUCUAUCUGGGUCUGUAUGUCUGGAUAUGCUACUGUGUGCAUGUGACUGUGUGCAUGUGACUGUGUUACCGUGUCUGUGUUUGUGUGACUGUAUUUUUGUGUAGCUGUGUGCAUGUAAAUGUGUGCAUAUAUGUGUAUUUGUGACAGUGUGUCUACUUAAAUGUGUGUGUAAGUGACUGUGUGUACAAUUUUGUAAUUAUCUUGUGACUUUGUGUGAUUGUGAC